UACGAAGGGGGCUAGCGUUGCUCGGAAUCACUGGGCGUAAAGCGCACGUAGGCGGAUUCUUAAGUCAGGGGUGAAAUCCUGGAGCUCAACUCCAGAACUGCCUUUGAUACUGAAGAUCUUGAGUUCGGGAGAGGUGAGUGGAAUUCCGAGUGUAGAGGUGAAAUUCGUAGAUAUUCGGAGGAACACCAGUGGCGAAGGCGGCUCACUGGCGUCGGUACUGACGCUGAGGUGCGAAAGCGUGGGGAGCAAACAGG
rnacentral:rRNA from 1 species